rnacentral:rRNA from 1 species
AGUUUGAUCCUGGCUCAGGAUGAACGCUGACAGAAUGCUUAACACAUGCAAGUCGAUGGGGAAGUGGUGCUUGCACCAUGGUAACCAUGGCGGACGGGUGAGUAACGCGUAAGGAACUUGCCUGCGGGACCGGGAUAACAGCAGGAAACUGCUGACAAGACCGGAUAAGGUCAUUAAGCUGCAUAGCUUAGUGAUGAAAGGAGACGCCUGCGGAGAGCCUUGCGUCCUAUUAGCUAGUUGGAGGGGUAACGGCCCACCAAGGCGAAGAUAGGUAGCCGGCCUGAGAGGGUGGACGGCCACAAGGGGACUGAGAUACGGCCCUUACUCCUACGGGAGGCAGCAGUGGGGAAUAUUGGACAAUGGGGGCAACCCUGAUCCAGCAAUUCUGUGUGCACGAAGACGGUUUUCGGAUUGUAAAGUGCUUUCAGCAGGGAAGAAGGAAGUGACGGUACCUGCAGAAGAAGCGACGGCUAAAUACGUGCCAGCAGCCGCGGUAAUACGUAUGUCGCGAGCGUUAUCCGGAAUUAUUGGGCAUAAAGGGCAUCUAGGCGGCCUUUCAAGUCAGGGGUGAAAACCUGCGGCUCAACCGCAGGCCUGCCUUUGAAACUGAUAGGCUGGAGUACCGGAGAGGUGGACGGAACUGCACGAGUAGAGGUGAAAUUCGUAGAUAUGUGCAGGAAUGCCGAUGAUGAAGAUAGUUCACUGGACGGUAACUGACGCUGAAGUGCGAAAGCCGGGGGAGCAAACAGGAUUAGAUACCCUGGUAGUCCCGGCCGUAAACGAUGAUUACUGGGUGUGGGCAGGAAGACUGUCUGUGCCGAAGCGAAUGCGAUAAGUAAUCCGCCUGGGGAGUACGGCCGCAAGGCUGAAACUCAAAGGAAUUGACGGGGACCCGCACAAGCGGUGGAGCAUGU